rnacentral:rRNA from 1 species
GACGAACGCUGGCGGCGUGCUUAACACAUGCAAGUCGAACGGAAAGGCCCUGCUUUUGUGGGGUGCUCGAGUGGCGAACGGGUGAGUAACACGUGAGUAACCUGCCCUUGACUUUGGGAUAACUUCAGGAAACUGGGGCUAAUACCGGAUAGGAGCUCCUGCUGCAUGGUGGGGGUUGGAAAGUUUCGGCGGUUGGGGAUGGACUCGCGGCUUAUCAGCUUGUUGGUGGGGUAGUGGCUUACCAAGGCUUUGACGGGUAGCCGGCCUGAGAGGGUGACCGGCCAAAUUGGGACUGAGAUACGGCCCAGACUCCUACGGGAGGCAGCAGUGGGGAAUAUUGCACAAUGGGCGGAAGCCUGAUGCAGCAACGCCGCGUGCGGGAUGACGGCCUUCGGGUUGUAAACCGCCUUCGCCUGUGACGAAGCGUGAGUGACGGUAAUGGGUAAAGAAGCACCGGCUAACUACGU